rnacentral:lncRNA from 1 species
GGGUUUGCUUGCUCUUCUUCAGCCUUUAGCUUGAGCAUAUUCUUGCCAUCGCCUGGUUGCUAUUGAUCUGCCCGACACUACCUCGAGGGUUUGGGUAGCGAAUCUUCUGGUGCGUGGCGGAAAUGAUGGCAAUGAUCUUACCAAUCCAUGGCUUGCUCAGGAUGUCAUUGUAAGAGGAGAUUUCAUCUAUGAUCAUGAAUGUCUGUGAGCUGAUCAC